rnacentral:tRNA from 1 species
AUAACCUACUUAACUCAGUGGUUAG